CCCUCCUACACCGUUGGUGGGAGUGUAAAUUGGUGCAGCCACUAUGGAGAACAGUAUGGAGGUUCCUUAAGAAACUAAAAAUAGAGUUACCAUACGAUCCAACAAUCCUAACUCUUGGGCAUAUAUUGGGAGAAAACUCUAAUU